CUGGAGAAGGGGCUGGAGGCACCAUGUCAGGCCUGGAAGGUGGCAAAAAGAAGCCCCUGAAACAGCCCAAGAAGCAGGCCAAGGAGAUGGAUGAGGACGAUAAGGCUUUCAAGCAGAAACAAAAGGAGGAACAGAAGAAACUCGAGGAGCUAAAAGCCAAGGUCUUGGGGAAGGGCCCCCUGGCCACAGGUGGAAUUAAGAAAUCUGGCAAAAAGUAAGCUGUUCCUCACAUCUGGGGUGAUGGUGACCCUCCUCUUCCAUUCCUAUUUAAACAUCUGGAUUCCCUGUUAUAAC